rnacentral:rRNA from 1 species
GAUGAACGCUGGCGGCGUGCCUAAUACAUGCAAGUCGAGCGAAUGGAUUAAGAGCUUGCUCUUAUGAAGUUAGCGGCGGACGGGUGAGUAACACGUGGGUAACCUGCCCAUAAGACUGGGAUAACUCCGGGAAACCGGGGCUAAUACCGGAUAACAUUUUGAACCGCAUGGUUCGAAAUUGAAAGGCGGCUUCGGCUGUCACUUAGUGAUGGACACGCGUCGCAUUAGCUAGUUGGUGAGGUAACGGCUCACCAAGGCAACGAUGCGUAGCCGACCUGAGAGGGUGAUCGGCCACACUGGGACUGAGACACGGCCCAGACUCCUACGGGAGGCAGCAGUAGGGAAUCUUCCGCAAUGGACGAAAGUCUGACGGAGCAACGCCGCGUGAGUGAUGAAGGCUUUCGGGUCGUAAAACUCUGUUGUUAGGGAAGAACAAGUGCUAGUUGAAUAAGCUGGCACCUUGACGGUACCUAACCAGAAAGCCACGGCUAACUACGUGCCAGCCGCCGCAGUAA